GGUGAUGUAGCUCAGUGGUACAGCAUUUGCCUGCCAUGCAUGAGGCUCCAGGUUCAAUCCCCAGCACCG
rnacentral:tRNA from 1 species